GGCUCAGAGUGAACGCUGGCGGUAGGCCUAACACAUGCAAGUCGAACGGCAGCACAGGAGAGCUUGCUCUCUGGGUGGCGAGUGGCGGACGGGUGAGGAAUGCAUCGGAAUCUACUCUUUCGUGGGGGAUAACGUAGGGAAACUUACGCUAAUACCGCAUACGACCUACGGGUGAAAGCCGGGGACCUUCGGGCCUGGCGCGAAUGAAUGAGCCGAUGCCCGAUUAGCUAGUUGGCGGGGUAAGAGCCCACCAAGGCGACGAUCGGUAGCUGGUCUGAGAGGAUGAUCAGCCACACUGGAACUGAGACACGGUCCAGACUCCUACGGGAGGCAGCAGUGGGGAAUAUUGGACAAUGGGCGCAAGCCUGAUCCAGCCAUACCGCGUGGGUGAAGAAGGCCUUCGGGUUGUAAAGCCCUUUUGUUGGGAAAGAAAAGCAGUCGGUUAAUACCCGAUUGUUCUGACGGUACCCAAAGAAUAA
rnacentral:rRNA from 1 species